UACGUAGGUGGCAAGCGUUGUCCGGAUUUACUGGGCGUAAAGGAUGCGUAGGCGGACAUUUAAGUCAGAUGUGAAAUACCCGAGCUUAACUUGGGUGCUGCAUUUGAAACUGGGUGUCUAGAGUGCAGGAGAGGAACGCGGAAUUCCAGGUGGUAGCGGAUGAAAUGCGUAGAUAUCUGGAGGAACACCGGUGGCGAAGGCGGCGUUUCUGGGACUGUUACUGACACUGAGGAACGAAAGCCAGGGGAGCAAAACGGGAU
rnacentral:rRNA from 1 species